GAUGAACGCUGGCGGCGUGCUUAAUACAUGCAAGUCGAACGAAGCACCUUGGACAGAAUCCUUCGGGAGGAAGACCAUUGUGACUGAGUGGCGGACGGGUGAGUAACGCGUGGGUAACCUGCCUUGUACAGGGGGAUAACAGUUGGAAACGACUGCUAAUACCGCAUAAGCGCACAGUACCGCAUGGUACGGUGUGAAAAACUCCGGUGGUACAAGAUGGACCCGCGUCUGAUUAGCUAGUUGGUGAGGUAACGGCCCACCAAGGCGACGAUCAGUAGCCGACUUGAGAGAGUGAUCGGCCACAUUGGGACUGAGACACGGCCCAAACUCCUACGGGAGGCAGCAGUAGGGAAUAUUGCACAAUGGGGGAAACCCUGAUGCAGCGACGCCGCGUGAAGGAAGAAGUAUUUCGGUAUGUAAACUUCUAUCAGCAAGGAAGAAAAUGACGGUACUUGACUAAGAAGC
rnacentral:rRNA from 1 species